GACGAACGCUGGCGGCGUGCUUAACACAUGCAAGUCGAACGGAAAGGCCCUGCUUUUGUGGGGUGCUCGAGUGGCGAACGGGUGAGUAACACGUGAGUAACCUGCCCUUUACUUUGGGAUAACUUCAGGAAACUGUGGCUAAUACCGGAUAGGAUCUCCUGCUUCAUGGUGUGGGUUGGAAAGUUUCGGCUGUUGGGGAUUGACUCGCGGCUUAUCAGCUUUUUUGUGGGGUAGUGGCUUACCAAGGCUUUGACGGGUAGCCGGCCUGAGAGGGUGACCGGAAAAAUUGGGACUGAGAUACGGACCAGAAUCCUACGGGAGGCAGCAGGGGGGAAUAUUGCACAAUGGGCGGAAGCCUGAUGAAGAAAAGCAGCGUGCGGGAUGACGGCCUUCGGGUUGUAAACAGAUUUCGACUGUGACGAAGAGUGAGUGACGGUAAUGGGUAAAGAAGCACCGGCUAACUACGUG
rnacentral:rRNA from 1 species